UACGGGGGGGGCAAGCGUUGUUCGGAAUUACUGGGCGUAAAGGGCUCGUAGGCGGCCAACUAAGUCAGACGUGAAAUCCCAGAGCUCAACUCUGGAACUGCCUUUGAUACUGUCGAUCUGGAGUAUGGAAGAGGUGAGUGGAAUUCCGAGUGUAGAGGUGAAAUUCGUAGAUAUUCGGAGGAACACCAGUGGCGAAGGCGGCUCACUGGUCCAUUACUGACGCUGAGGUGCGAAAGCGUGGGGAGCAAACAGG
rnacentral:rRNA from 1 species